CGGAGGGGCUAGCGUUGUUCGGAAUUACUGGGGCGUAAAGCGCACGUAGGCGGAUCAGAAAGUUGGGGGUGAAAUCCCGGGGGCUCAACCUCGGAACUGCCUUCAAAAACUAUUGGUCUUGAGUUCGAGAGAGGUGAGUGGAAUUCCGAGUGUAGAGGUGAAAUUCGUAGAUAUUCGGAGGAACACCAGUGGCGAAGGCGGCUCACUGGCUCGAUACUGACGCUGAGGUGCGAAAGCGUGGGGAGCAAACAGGAUU
rnacentral:rRNA from 1 species